AAAAACCUUUUUUAAUUAAUUUUUAUAUAAUCUUUUUAGCUUUUUUUUAAAAUGAUUUUUCUUAUAUAGACUGACUGAACUCUGUCAUUGAGAAGAAAGACGAUUUCAGUUUUAUUUAAUUCAAGAAUACUGUGUAAAAUAAUUUGUAGAAAAUAGAGUCGGUUUCAUCAUUCUGAAGAUCGUGUCUAGUUUGAAGACUGUUCUCUGAGCAAUGAUUGCAAGACUGUUCUUUGCAUGUCUUCAUCAUUGGCAGUGUUUAGUACUUCAGGUAAAGUCACGCCGAUUCCGCUGUUACAGUUCUGCAAUGAAAUAGUUCGAGAAAUAACAAUAUGCAUAACCAAGCAGCGCGAAAGUUAUAAAGUAUUUGUCGUAAAAUCGAAAGUUUCUUAUGACCAAUGCAAUGAUUCAUUAGAAAUGUUUGUGUAAUCGUAAA